rnacentral:rRNA from 1 species
AGAGUUUGAUCAUGGCUCAGAUUGAACGCUGGCGGCAUGCCUUACACAUGCAAGUCGAACGGCAGCACGGGGGCAACCCUGGUGGCGAGUGGCGAACGGGUGAGUAAUACAUCGGAACGUGCCCAGUAGUGGGGGAUAACGUAGCGAAAGCUACGCUAAUACCGCAUACGAUCCAAGGAUGAAAGCGGGGGAUCGCAAGACCUCGCGCUAUUGGAGCGGCCGAUGGCAGAUUAGCUUGUUGGUGGGGUAAAAGCCUACCAAGGCGACGAUCUGUAGCUGGUCUGAGAGGACGACCAGCCACACUGGGACUGAGACACGGCCCAGACUCCUACGGGAGGCAGC